AGGUUAAGUAGUGAAAAAUAGUACAAUGUCGAUUACUAGUAUUUCGGUGUAAAAUUGAGUAUUUAUGGAUUUACCAAAUGUAAUCGAGGUAUGAUUAAGGUCUCAUUGAUGAUGUAAAAAUGGUUUUAGAACCAUUAGAUCAAUUCUUGAUGGGAGGUAUACAUAAUCAGUGGUAUUGAUGCAAAGUCAAAACGAGCUUAGCAUAAGUGCGCUACGCUCGAUCGGGUAAGCAUAACUAUUGGGUAUGAAGUCAUAUGGACCUAAGGUUUGGUGUGAGUGUUUUACACAUAAGGAUAAUAGGCCUAGCAGAUGAUUAAGUCGAAAUUAUUGAAGUGAUAAGGUUUUCAUAAGUCAAAAAGGUGAAAUGAUGAGAUGAAAGGUGUCAAAUUUUGAUACAAUAAGGCUAAAUCAUUGAAAAUAAGGAAUUUUCAUCAACCUUAUCACUUUGCACGACCAUUAUUCUGAAAAACAGAGAGAAAAGAAAACCAAAAACCAUUUCUUGGCUGGUUUGAAGAAAUUCUAAGGAGAUCCAAGUGAAAGCAAAGCCAAAGAAGUAGAUUAAGCUUAGUUCUAGCCUUUUUAUGAUAUUUCUUGGUGGUUUCCAAGUGGUUUGAGGUUUAGAAAAGCUUGAAGAGAUUGUUUUCGCCGAAAGUUGCUCGGAUAAGCAUAUCAACACCUAAGACAUCACUUGUUACACAGUGAAAUAUAUUUUGGAC